GCGGUUUUGCGCAUGGUAAUUCGGCCCUCACCAACAAUGUUAGAAACAGAGGAACCGAGCUUGACAGCUUGGCCAGCAAGAGAAGGGGAGGAGAGAGCCAUUGUUGAAGAAGCCAUUUGAGAAAAAUGGAAGUGUAUUGACUACUGAGUAUUUCAGUCUCUCUAGACAAUGUGGGAAGGCCGGGUGCCUGUUGUUGUUGUUUUGGUAGAGACGUUGGUGGGUGUAUGUAUAGGUUUGAGGGUGCAUGAGGUCCUUAUCUUUGUGAUAUCUUCAUCUCUUUUCUGAUUGGUGAAAAUGAUGUUCAAGGAUUUUCAAGACGGAUCUCUUCGUUUGAGCUUUGAUGCUUUUCCCGUUGGCUUGAUAUGCUCCACUACUUUACUUCCGAACAACAAAACGAAAAAGGAAAAAUUAAAAAUCUGUUUUGGAUAUUAUUACAUGCUUCGAAUGAGCUCUAAGCCAAUUGAAUUUAGUCACUACUGUUUGUGGUGGUGAGAAACGUCUUCAUUUCCAGGUGGCUUGAUGUGUUCCACUAGUUAGGUCUCAAGACAUGCAAGGAAGAAGAAAAUAUAUCCGUUGAUCUCUGUAGCCAAUAGAAAAUGGCCACAUACUCUUUUCAUGAGAGAGAAUCUAAGGAUGAUAACUUGUAACACAACAGACAAUUGGUAGCGUUGUUAUCCACCAUAGUUCUUCACAUGAAUCCAGAAAUGACAAGACACCAUAGUUCUUCCGUUUUCACUUUCAGAUGGACAAAUUCUCACCCUCCCUCACAUGUAUAUAUUUUUGGUAAUAAAUUAUUGGAGGGGGGAGUUUACACAAAUAUUUAUUUGAUAUUUGGGAAUUUCGAACUUCUGCUCACAUAAGUGGAGGUGGAAGAGCUAUCAACUAAGUUAUACCCUACUAAUAUUCACAUAUAUUUAAUCCAACCUAAAAUGUCCACUAACUAACUAUUUUUUUUAAUGAGAGAAAGGAAACCAACAAAGACACGACCCUUUAGGGCACGCAAGCCCAAAUAGGUCCAAAUAAAAAGAAGAACCAAUAGAAAGAGGGAGACCACUCUGCCACAGCUUCGAAGGCGAAAGCAAAUGACCAAGGGAAGCAAGAGCAUCUGCAACCCCAUUGACUUCACGAAAGACAUGAGAGAAGGAGAUUUGAUCACAUAAUAUUGUGAGAUGUAGAAUAUCUUGGACAAGCUGAUUAAUGCACGAGGAAGUCGAGCAUCGCUUCAAAACUGAGUCAAUGACAAGCUUAGAAUCUCCAUGAAAUAAGAGUUUGGACCAACUCUUGGAAACAACAUAAGCCAAGCCAUCUCUAAGCUCCAAACAUUCCACCACAAUAAUAGAAUUGCGACCAAUCUUCUUAGCACCAACUAGCACAGUAUGAGCAUUAUCAUCUCUAAUAACAAAGCCGAUCGUAGCAUAACUAUUUAUUUAGAUAAAGAGUUUGUAAGUCAAGUAGUUAAUAAUAUUAUUAUUCAUCUAUUCAGUGGCGGAGUCAGGAUUUUACAUUAAAGGAGGCCCUUUAAAAAAAUUUAUAAAAUAAUUCAAAUAGGAGCACUAACUGGUUAGUAAGUUAAUACGAUACUAAUUACUCGGUUUAGCUCACUGCAUAAUAUCAUUUCAUAUUGAUUAAUAAUUUAUUCGUUCAUUACAAUCAUAAUUGUCCUUAAUUUCAUAUUAUAAAAUAAUUGAAUAUUAAUCUCAUAAUCUACACUAUUAAAGAUUCAUACUCAUACGUUAAUAAUUUAUAUUCCAACAGAGAGAAUAAAUACAAAAAAGUUCAUAAAUCCAAUAUUAAAGUACCCUACUACUCAGACAUGUAAAAAGGAAGGGAAAAAAAUCACAAAGCGUAAGCUUAAGUUAAACAAAAGAGGAAGAGAAAGAGAAGGGAAAAAAUUAGGAGUUUUUAGUGCAAAUAUCAUAACAUAAUCUAGUAGAUUUAAUUGAAAGUAAAAGAGUGAUUAAGAAGUUUAAUGGUUAAUUUAUACUACAAUUAUCGAUUAGUCGAAAUGGUCAUUGGUAACAUAAAUAUAUACUUUGUUGAUCAUAAUAUGUCACAUAGCAUUUUAAUCCUUACUAAUUGUAGUAUAAAUACUAUUAAAUCUCACAGAUUGGGACUCUUACCAAACAGUUAGAAGUAAGAUGAAUAUCAGUGAAUUUAGAGCCAGGUGAACUUGUCAACAAAACAACAAGUAGAUUAAAUGAGAGGUAAUCUACAGCAAGGCGAUAACUUAUCCUUUCAGAUCUUGAUGACCACUAGAAUUACAGUCUAAUCCAAUUUCAUCAACAUAAUUAAGCACAAUUGCCAAAACCAUUAGGAAAAGCACACUUCUCUCUCAAUCUCAGGCUCACUUGCCGGGAACAAAGUUUGUGGCGUAUGCCCAGGCAUUGUUGUUAACAGGGUCAGCCAAGUGGUCAGCUAAGUUCUCAAUUGGUCCCUUCCCUGUAACAAUGGCCUGCACAAAGAACCCAAACAUAGAAAACAUGGCCAGUCUUCCAUUCUUCAGCUCCUUCACCUUCAGCUCAGCAAAAGCUUCUGGAUCUUCUGCAAGGCCUAAUGGGUCAAAGCUCCCACCUGGGUACAAUGGGUCUGUCACCUCACCAAGGGGCCCACCAGCAAUUCUGUAACCUUCAACUGCACCCAUCAAGAUAACUUGUGUGGCCCAUAUUGCCAAAAUGCUUUGGGCAUGGACUAAGCUUGGGUUUCCCAAGUAGUCUAGACCACCCUCACUGAAGAUUUGGGCCCCAGCCUUGAACCAAACAGCUUCGCCGAACUUGACUCCGUUACGGGACAAGAGUUCGGGGAAAACACAGCCCAAAGCGCCGAGCAUGGCCCAUCUUGAGUGGAUGACCUCAAGCUCACGGUUCUUGGCAAAGGUCUCAGGGUCAGCCGAGAGCCCAGCAGUGUCCCAACCGUAAUCGCCGGGGAAUUCUCCAGUGAGGUAAGAAGGGGCCUCGCCAGAGAACGGGCCCAAGUAUUUGACACGGUCAGGGCCGUACCACGGGCUGCCGGAUGAAACAUUUUUGGACCUGGAUGCGGUUUUGCGCAUGGUAACUCGGCCCUCACCAACAAUGUUAGAAACAGAGGAACCGAGCUUGACAGCUUGGCCAGCAAGAGAAGGGGAGGAGAGAGCCAUUGUUGAAGAAGCCAUUUGAGGAAAAAUGAAAGUGUAUUAUUUGUGAAAAUCUUCAGUCUCUCAGACAAUGUGAGAGGGCCGAGUGCUUGUUUUCUUUGGGAAGAAGAGACGUUGGUGGGUAUUUGUAUAGGUUUGGUUCAAAGGGUCCUUAUCUUUCUGAUAUCUUCAUCUCUUUUCUCAUUGGAGAAGACCAAGUUUGAAAAUCUCUACCCUUCCAGUUGGCUUGAUAUGCUCCACUAGUUUAUUACUUCCCAAAACAGAAAGAAAAAUUAAUAUCAAAUUUGGAAAUUAUAUGCUUUGAUUUCUAGCCACUACUAGAAUUUUGUCCACGCACACUUUCUUUAUUUCCAGUUGGCUUGAUAUGCUUCACUAGUUUUUCUCCAGGGACAAAAAAAAAAAAAAAAAAGAGAUCAGAAAAAUCAAGUUUGGAUAUUUUAUAUUACUUCUAUCUUUGGCCAAUGGAAUUUGCCCACGUACUCUUUCGGAUGAGGGUGAUGAGAGAGGAAAAAUCUGAGUAUUCAAAUGAAUAAUUUAGAGCAACUCUAUUUUAACAUGAUUAUGUCUAAUUGAAAUUGUAGAGAAAAUUACUUCUUUUAUUAUGUGUUCUAAUCUAAGAGUGUGUCAGUUUAGAUGCAAUAUGGAUGCGGUUUUGGACAAAUGUGGCGGUUUGAUCUUAAUUUAGAUGUAGCUCUGGAACAUAGCUAAUGCCAUAGAACUUACAUUCAGAGAUUAGCACUACAUAUCCAGCAGCUUGUGCUGAGCCAUAAACUUAUAAGAGACUUCAGCUGCUGCUCUUACCAUAGAGGAGAGUGCUACAAAAUGUUGAGGGCAUUUCAUAUUGAAGAGGACGGAAGUCUAGCUUAAGAGUUUAGAAGAUCUUGGGCGUCUUCAUUCAUUGCUAAUUGAUUUUUAGUUGAUUGGAAGUUUAAAUUCUAAUAUAAUAUCAUGAUAGGCUAUUCAUGUGCCAAGCCAAACAAUCCCACAUGUUCCCCAAUAAGAAUUGUUCACUGAUUAAGCACAAAAGAAGCGACACGCGGGGGCGUGUUGAGAGUAUCUCACAUGAAAAGAUUGAAGUUUAUUUUAAGAUUUUAAAAGAUCUCUUAACUAAUUCCAUAGCAAUCUUGUUUUUAUUUAUUUAAUUGAGUUUAACUUGUAUUAAACUCCAUCACACACUGAUAUUGCAUUUUCAUGACAAGAUGGAUUGGCUGUGAAGGUGGUGCAACUUUUUAUUUAUUUAUGGCGUUUUACUUUCUAUAUUUAUUCAUCACCAUUUUUUUGGUAUGAGUUGGUGAAAACAAAUGCCAAUUACGAGUCUUUCCUCAUUUCUUGCAAGUCACAAUGUUGAUUCAUCGAGUUGUCAGAACUAAGAACAUUGAGUUUUUGAAGUAAGGUGAAAAAUUCCCAUACAAAUGUAUACUCAAAGAACAUUUAUCAGAUUUGUUCUUAUAUUCCUCUGCAUUGACCACCAAAUUUCAUCAGAAAAAAAAAAAAAACAAGAACACUUCAAAGAAAUCCCAUUCAAAACAGUGGCCCUCGCAAUUUGUAAAAACGCUUCUCUCUCAAGUUCUCCAUGCACCUCACUUCCCAGGAACAAAGUUUGUGGCGUAUGACCAAGCAUUGUUGUUUAACAGGAUCAGCCAAGUGGUCAGCUAAGUUCUCUAUUGGUCCCUUUCCAGUAACAAUGGCCUGCACAAAGAACCCAAACAUGGAAAACAUGGCGAGUCUUCCAUUCUUCAGCUCAGCGAGAGCCUCUGGAUCCUCUGCAAGGCCUAAUGGGUCAAAGCUCCCACCUGGAUAUAAUGGGUCAGUGAUCUCUCCGAGAGGCCCACCUGCAACUCUGUAACCUUCCACUGAUAACUUGUGUGGCUCAAAUUGCCAAAAUGCUUUGGGCAUUGACUAAGCUUGGGUUUCCCAAGUAGUCUAGCCCACCGUCACUGAAGAUUUGGGCCCCAGCCUUGAACCAAACAGCUUCUCAGAACUUGACUCCGUUACGAGACAAGAGUUCGGGGAAAUCAUAGCCCAAAGCCCCGAGCAUGGCCCAUCUUGAGUGGAUGACUUCAAGUUCACGGUUUUUGGUAAAGGUUUCUGGGUCAGCUGAGAGCCCAGCAGUGUCCCAACCGUAAUCACCGGGGAAUUCUUCAGGAGUCAGUACGGUAAGAAGGGGCCUCACCAGAGAACGGGCCCAAGUAUUUGACACGGUCGGGGCCGUACCACGGACUGCUGGAUGAAACAUUUUUGGACUUGGAUGCGGUUUUGCGCAUUGUAACUCGGCCCUCACGUCACCAACAAUUAUAGAAACAGAGGAACCGAGCUUGACAGCUUGGCCAGCAAGAGAAGGGGAGGAGAGAGCCAUUGUUGAAGAGGCCAUUUUAGAAAAAUGAAAGUGUAUUGUAUUGAGGGUUGCCUUUUAGACAAUGUGGGAUUGUCAAGUGCCAAGUGUCAA
rnacentral:lncRNA from 1 species